GAAACAGCCCAGACCACCAGCUAAGGUCCCAAAAUAUAUGUUAAGUGGAAAAGGAUGUGGCGUUGCCCAGACAACUAGGAUGUUGGCUUAGAAGCAGCCAUCAUUUAAAGAGUGCGUAAUAGCUCACUAGUCGAGUGACACUGCGCCGAAAAUGUACCGGGGCUAAACAUAUUACCGAAGCUGUGGAUUGUCCUUUGGACAAUGGUAGGAGAGCGUUCUAAGGGCGUUGAAGCAUGAUCGUAAGGACAUGUGGAGCGCUUAGAAGUGAGAAUGCCGGUGUGAGUAGCGAAAGACGGGUGAGAAUCCCGUCCACCGAUUGACUAAGGUUUCCAGAGGAAGGCUCGUCCGCUCUGGGUUAGUCGGGUCCUAAGCUGAGGCCGACAGGCGUAGGCGAUGGAUAACAGGUUGAUAUUCCUGUACCACCUAUAAUCGUUUUA
rnacentral:rRNA from 1 species